UUCGGCUUGUGGCCGACAGUUUCUUUAGAGUGCCGCCUUGCGGCAUGGCAACUAAAGAUAAGGGUUGCGCUCGUUGCGGGACUUAACCCAACAUCUCACGACACGAGCUGACGACAACCAUGCAGCACCUCUGCUGGCUCCCUUGCGGGUCAGCCCCUGUUUCCAAGGACUUACCACCAGUAGUUCAAGCCCAGGUAAGGUUCUUCGCGUUGCGUCGAAUUAAACCACAUGUUCCACCGCUUGUGCGGGCCCCCGUCAAUUCCUUUGAGUUUCAACCUUGCGGCCGUACUCCCCAGGCGGCUCAUUUAAUGCGUUAGCUGCGGCACUGAUCGGGUCAAUCCGACCAACACCUAGUUCACAACGUUUAGGGCGUGGGCUAC
rnacentral:misc_RNA from 1 species